rnacentral:rRNA from 1 species
AUACGUAGGGGGCGAGCGUUGUCCGGAAUGACUGGGCGUAAAGGGCGUGUAGGCGGGAAUGCAAGUCAGGUGUGAAAUCUAGGGGCUCAACCCCUAAACUGCACUUGAAACUGCGUUUCUUGAGUGUCGGAGAGGUUGACGGAAUUCCUAGUGUAGCGGUGAAAUGCGUAGAUAUUAGGAGGAACACCAGUGGCGAAGGCGGUCAACUGGACGAUAACGGACGCGGAGACGCGAAAGCGUGGGGAGCAAACAGGAUUAGAUCCCCUGGUAGUCCACGCCGUAAACGAUGAAUACUAGGUGUGGGGGGACUGACCCCCUCCGUGCCGCAGUUAACACAAUAAGUAUUCCCCCUGGGGAGUACGGCCGCAAGGUUGGAACUCAAAUGAAUUGACGGGA